rnacentral:rRNA from 1 species
UACGGGGGGAGCAAGCGUUGUUCGGAUUUACUGGGCGUAAAGGGCGCGUAGGCGGCCACCGCAAGUCGACUGUGAAAUCUCCGGGCUUAACCCGGAAAGGUCAGCCGAUACUGCGGGGCUAGAGUGCAGAAGGGGCAACUGGAAUUCUCGGUGUAGCGGUGAAAUGCGUAGAUAUCGAGAGGAACACCAGUGGCGAAGGCGAGUCCCUGGACAACACCUGACACUGAGGCACGAAAGCUAGGGGAGCAAACAGG